GCACACCCCUCCCCCCCCUCUCUAGAGUUUGAUCGUGGCUCAGGACGAACGCUGGCGGCGUGCAUAAUACAUGCAAGUCGAGCGGACAGAUGGGAGCUUGUUCCAUGAUGUUAGCGGCGGACGGGUGAGUAACACGUGGGUAACCUGCCUGUAAGACUGGGAUAACUCCGGGAAACCGGGGCUAAUACCGGAUGCUUGUUUGAACCGCAUGGUUCAAACAUAAAAGGUGGCUUCGGCUACCACUUACAGAUGGACCCGCGGCGCAUUAGCUAGUUGGUGAGGUAAUGGCUCACCAAGGCAACGAUGCGUAGCCGACCUGAGAGGGUGAUCGGCCACACUGGGACUGAGACACGGCCCAGACUCCUACGGGAGGCAGCAGUAGGGAAUCUUCCGCAAUGGACGAAAGUCUGACGGAGCAACGCCGCGUGAGUGAUGAAGGUUUUCGGAUCGUAAAGCUCUGUUGUUAGGGAAGAACAAGUGCCGUUCGAAUAAGGGCGGUACCUUGACGUACCUAAUCAGAAGUACUAUUG
rnacentral:rRNA from 1 species